rnacentral:rRNA from 1 species
GACGAACGCUGGCGGCGUGCCUAAUACAUGCAAGUCGAGCGAACCUUUAAAAGCUUGCUUUUAAAGGUUAGCGGCGGACGGGUGAGUAACACGUGGGCAACCUACCUGUAAGACUGGGAUAACUUCGGGAAACCGGAGCUAAUACCGGAUAAUUCUUUUCUACACAUGUAGAAAAGCUGAAAGACGGUUUCGGCUGUCACUUACAGAUGGGCCCGCGGCGCAUUAGCUAGUUGGUGAGGUAAUGGCUCACCAAGGCAACGAUGCGUAGCCGACCUGAGAGGGUGAUCGGCCACACUGGGACUGAGACACGGCCCAGACUCCUACGGGAGGCAGCAGUAGGGAAUCUUCCGCAAUGGACGAAAGUCUGACGGAGCAACGCCGCGUGAGUGAUGAAGGUUUUCGGAUCGUAAAACUCUGUUGUUAGGGAAGAACAAGUACGAGAGUAACUGCUCGUACCUUGACGGUACCUAACCAGAAAGCCACGGCUAACUACGUGCCAGCCGCCGCCGUAAAAC